AUGCCAAGCCCGAACGACGCCUCUACAUCGCCGCCCAGCAGUGCUGAAGCCGCGCCGACGCAGCCCAGCACCGAAGCAGCUCCGACACCGACGAGCCCGCGCACGACGACUCCGCCAACGCCUGGAGCCGACCCCGCGAGCGUAAGCAAGCUCAGGGAGAGGUGGAGUAGGUACAGCACUCUUGGGGGGAGGAAGCGGAGGAAGAGGGAAAAUGCAGCAUCCUUGUUCGUCUCGCGGAAUGCGGAGUAUGUUGCUGUAGCUGUUGGGAACCGCAUUUAUAUCUUGAGAAAGAGCGAUGGCUAUGAAUCACCCUGCGGCAUAUAUACAAAUAAUAAUAGAAUGGCCUUUUUUACAAACGGGGCCUGGCUGGAGGACCAAGGCAUUUUUGGUGUGGUUGAUGAUUCAAACUCACUGUGUCUCAUAAAAGAAAAUGGAGAUGUAUUAACUAGGAGAACAAGCAAUCAGUUGAAGCUAUCUUCUCCUAUCAUUGAUUUGCUUGUGCAGGAUGCUUCAAGUUCACAGGGUUUCUACAUUUUUACUACUGAUUGCAAGGUCCAUAAAUUUGAUUACACUCGAGAACCAGAGGCAACUUUAUACCAAGUUUCUAUAGUGACUAAAGAUGUGUCAUCAACUAGAUCUCCUCGGUUACCUCAGAGUUUGUCAUGUGUUGAUUAUCAUCAAGAUCAUUCAUUGGUGGUCCUAGUUGGAGAUUCCACUCACUCGUCAAGCUCCAAUGGCUGUUCCGGAGCAUAUUUUCUAUAUGUAUUGCACUUCGAUGAAUAUCUGGAACUUAGUCUUACAUUCCAAAGUGCGCCGUUGGAAGGAGUGUUUUCACCUCCUACAGAUAGAAAAACUUUGGCCCCGCUUCCAAAAGUCAGAAUCUCACCUCAGGGCAGGCGUAUUGCUACAUUGGAUUUGAAUGGUUCUGUCGACAUCUUUGUACUCAAUGGUAAUAUGCGCUCUGUUUCGCUUCAUCCUCACGGGAGUGGCGCUGGAACACACUUGAUUGGUGUGAAGGACAUCAGUUGGUGGACAGAUAAUAUUCUCAUGAUAGUAAAGGAAGAUGGUAGGAUUAGCAUGUACAGCAUUGCUGAGGAAAUGGUAGUUUCAAAAGGUGACCUUGUUUUAUCUACACCACUGUUGGAAAAGGCAAAGGCUAUCGAAGGAUAUGCAUUUGUUUUGCAAUCUAGCAGACAAAUGGAUAGUGUUCCUGGGGAUCAUCAACACACGGAGAUGGAUAAAAUAUUUUGGAGUCUAGUAUCAUUCUCCGAAGUUACAGUACUGGAGAUGUACUCCGUUCUCAUCAGGAAGAAUCAACAAAAAGAGGCUUUGGAUUUUGCCUCCCAGUAUAAUCUAGAUAAGGAUGACGUGCUUAAAGCAUGCUGGUUGCACUCUGCUGGAGAUAUUCAUGAUAUACAGUCAUACUUGGUGAACAUCAAAGACCAAGCAUUUGUAUUGUCAGAAUGUGUGAAUAAAGUUGGACCUACAGAAGCAGCUUUGAAAGCCCUAUUUUCUUUUGGCUUUCGCAUGACAGACUGUUACAAGUUUUUGGAGCCGGAUAAUAGUGGUGAUGGCUCAGCAUGGGACAGUCGUAUCAUCAGGCUUCGUUUAUUGUGGUACAACGACUUGCUGGAGACAUUCUUGGGAAUUAAUAUGGGAAGGUUCUCAGCUGGCGAAUAUAGCAAGUUCCGUUUGACGCCCCUUGUUGAUACUGCUAUUGCUCUAGCUGAAAGUGGCAAAAUCGGAGCUCUUAAUCUUCUCAUGAAGCGCCAUCCGUAUACUAUCUCUUCUGACAUUUUACGUGUUCUGUCUGCAAUUCCAGAAACUAUUGCUGUACAGACUUAUAGUCAGUUGCUUCCUGGGAAAUAUCCUCCUAGUGUUGUAAUAUUAAGAGAUGGUGAUUGGGUUGAAUGCAAACAGAUGGCAGCAUAUAUAAACACUUCUCCUGGUCAAUUGGACAAGAGGGGAGAGGUCAAAACAGAAAUACUUUUGAAGCACUCAACUGGUUUCUUAUGGCCAUCUGCCGCUGAACUUUCGGAGUGGUACAGGAGUAGAGCUAGGGACAUUGACUGCCUAAGUGGACAGCUGGAAAAUUGUCUUGCCAUGAUAGAGCUUGCAUGUCAAAAGGGGAUAGUGGAGCUGCAGCCAUUCUUUGAUGAUAUGAAAUACCUCUACCAAGUUGUAUAUUCUGAUGAGUCGAAUGAGUUAAUAAUGAACCUUGCAACCUGGGAAGAUUUACCUGACUAUCAAAAGUUUAAAAUCAUUCUGAAAGGAGCCAAAGAUGAUACUGUCGUUCAGCGACUAGACGAUAUGGCUAUCCCCUUUAUGAAUAAGAGAUUGCACUUGAUCUCGUCAAGUAAUGCUGACAAACAAGAAGAAUCCUACCUGACUAGAUGGAUGAAAGAGGUUGCUACUGCAAAUGAGCUGUCCAUUUGCUUGUCUGUUAUUGAAAACGGCUGUGGGGAGUCACCAAUUUGUGGGCUCUUCAAGGAUCUUAAUGAGAUGGUAGAAACUGCUAUUUGCUGCAUUUAUGUAUGCUCUGCAACUAACCAGUGGAAUACCAUGUCAUCAAUUUUGUCAAAGUUACUCCAUAAGACAAAGAGAGAGAAAUCUUUAUUGGCUAGUCACGUAGAAGUAGGGAGGCUCUUUGCUUAUUACCAGGUACCAAAGCCAACACAUUUCUUCCUUGCUGCACACUUAGACGAGAAGAAUGUAAAACAACUUAUACGGCUGAUCCUGUCAAAAUUUGGCAGACGUCAACCUGUUCGGUCGGACAAUGAGUGGGCUAACAUGUGGCGUGAUUUGAAGCUCUUCCAAGAGAAGGCAUUUCCUUUUCUUGAUUCAGAAUAUAUGCUCGCUGAAUUCAUUAGAGGGCUUCUAAAAGCUGGUAAAUUUUCACUAGCCAGGAACUAUCUUGGAGGUACUAGUGCAGUUUCUUUGUCCACAGAAAAAGCUGAAAAUCUCGUUAUCCAAGCUGCAAGGGAGUAUUUCUUCUCAGCUUCAACAUUGUCCUGCAACGAAAUUUGGAAGGCUAGGGAAUGCCUAAAUCUGUUACCAAAUAGCAAAAAUGUUCAAGUGGAAACUGAUAUAAUUGAUGCUCUAACUGUCAGACUUCCUUGUCUAGGGGUAAAGGAUCCUAUGGAGAUCAUCCGUAUGGUGAUUACGAGUCAAACAGGGGCAUAUCUUCAUUUUGAAGAGAUUAUUGAUGUUGCUAAACUACUAGGAUUAAGAAGUGAAGAAGAAAUAGCUGCUGUUGAGGAGGCUAUUGCUAGAGAAGCAGUGGUAAAUGGUGACCUCCAGCUAGCCUUUGAUCUCUGUCUAAAUUUGACUAAAAAGGGUCAUGGUGAAGUCUGGGAUUUAUGUGCUGCAAUUGCAAGAGGUCCUCAGCUUGACAAUUUGGAUACAAGUACCCGCGAAAAGCUAUUGGGCUUCUCCCUUAGCCAUUGUGAUGAAGAAUCUGUAGGGGAACUAUUGAAUGCUUGGAAGGAACUUGAUGUCCAUGAUAAAUUUGAACAAUUAAUGGUAUCAACAGGAACAAAUGAUGAUACACAUAGUCGGGAAUCUGCUUUUGCAGAAAAUAGGAAACUAUUGUCCUUCUCUGCACUGGAAUUGCCAUGGCUUUUGAAGUUGUCUAAUGAUGAGAUACAUGAUGGUAAAAAACAUUCUUCGGAGACAAAUCAUCCCAUCAGGAGAUAUCGAUUUUCAACAAAAACGGAGGCAAUAAAUAGCAUCAUAUAUUGGCUAGGUGUAAAUAGUUUUGCUCCCAGUGAUGAUCUAAUCAUGUUUCUUGCAAAGUCUGUAAUGGAGCCUCCCGUUGAUGAAGAUGAUUAUGUUCUUUCCUGUUCAAUUCUUCUGAAUCUCAUGGACCCUUUCAACGGAGUGAAAAUAAUAGAGGAAGAGCUCAAAAAACGAGAAUGUUAUCAAGAGAUUAGUAGCAUAAUGAAUGUAGGAAUGACAUAUAGCUCCCUCAACAGUUUGAAGAAAGAAUGUUCUACUCCUGAACAGAGGAGAAAUCUCUUGCUUCAAAAAUUCCAUGAGAAGUUUACCUCGAUAGAUUCAGAUGAUUUAGACCAGAUUGAUAUGGCACAUGCCACUUACUGGGGAGAGUGGAAAUCAAAAUUAGAAGAGGAGAAACGAAUGGCUGAUCAAGCAAGAAUGCUGAAAAAUGUACUGCCUGAUAUUGACACGUCUCGAUUCUUAUCUGGCGAUGCUAACUAUAUCAAAAAGGUUGUUUUCUCCUUUGUUGACUCCGUAAAGCUGGAGAGAAAACAUAUAAUAAAGGAAGCAGUAAAGAUAGCUGAGAACUAUGGCUUGCAGCGAACAGAGGUGCUUUUACGAUUUCUGGGCUGUGCUCUCGUCUCUGAAUAUUGGGAUAACGAUGAUAUUCUGAAUGAAAUUGCUGAAUUCCGGGAGGAUAUUGUCAAAUCAGCUAAGGGGGUGAUUGCUAUGAUAUAUUCAGAUGUCUACCCAGAGAUCGAUGGGUAUAAUAAGCAACGCCUCUCCUACAUCUUUGGCAUCCUUUCAGCAUGUCAUUCGUAUCUUAAGAGGACUAUAUGCAAGAAUAUCCAUGCCUCAACCGUCAGUGCUCUAGCUGAUAUGGUCCAAGCUCUUGUGAGUAUGUAUGUUGAUUUACAGGCCAAGGGUCUUGUAUCACGCCAAGGUGUUUACAAGCAUUAUGUUCUUGGCAUGUUGGCAUCUUUAGAAGGCCGCAAUGAAGCACGGUCAAACAGCACAGAUUGUGAGAAGUUACUAGCAGUUUGUGAAAUUGAGUUGAACUAUGAUAGUUGCAAGGAGUAUAUCCAAACUCUUCCUGCCACAGAUAUUUCAUACAUUAUUGGAAGGUAUUACACACUAUGUUUCCCUUGCAACUUAGCAAGAAGCCAACCACAGGAACCUUCAUGGAAGGAACCUCUCUGUAUGCUGUUAACGCUUUGGAUUAAACUAGUUGACGACAUACCAAAGCAGUCAACUGAUGCUAGCUCAUAUGAAAGGACAGGCUACUUGGAUUCGAACCGGUUAACUCACUGCAUGAGUACCUUCAGACAGCUGUUAAUAAAUAAUGAGAUAACAGUGCACCAAGGUUGGGAUGCCAUCUCUAUGUUUGUACAAGUUGGCUUUAACAGUGAAAUGAUAAUGGACACAUCACACUUUUGCCGAGCUAUGGUUCUUUCUGGAUGUGGUUUCAAAACUGUAGUUGAAGUGUACCAUGGAGGACAGGAAAAUUUGGAAAGUGUAAAUGCAGACUCGAGGAAUCCUUUGGAUCUCUUAGAGCUUUAUGGUGCUUCUACAGAUGGCUGUUUGUCCAAUCUGAUCGAAGGCUCUUGUGAUUCUCAGGCAUUGCUUCAUAAGUUACUGUCUUCAUUGAGCCAGUCAGUAGGGGAGCAUGCUGACUCUCUUGAAAUGAUCCGAUCUGGUGUCUGGGGAAAGUUGAUAGCCUUUUCUGAGAACAUGCAGCUAGGUAGCCAACUACGUGUCUAUGCGCUGCAGCUGAUGCAGUGUAUUACGGGAAGAAACCUCAAAAGCCUUCCAAAUGAGAUUGUUUCCCAGGUUGAGCCAUGGGAAUCAUGGUAUGAGCCUGGAACAAGUGAUUCCUUAGCUGAUGAGGGCAGUACUCCCUCUUGCAGCAUCACAGCGAGUCUGGUGGCACUCAGAUCUAAUCAGAUGGUCACUGCAGUUCUGCCAGAUACUAGUAUCACGCCCGAAAACUUGUCGAGUCUUCACUCUGCAGUAUCUUGCUUCUUACAUUUGUCGGAACGUGCUUCUUCUGUUGAGAGUGUUACUGUUCUGGAAGCAGUGCUAGAAGAGUGGGAGCAACUGUUCUCUUCACCAAAAGAAGAAUAUGUUCAGCCUCAGGAUUCGCCAAAAGAAGCAAGCGACUGGAGUGAUGGAUGGGAUGAUGGCUGGGAGGCCCUACCAGAAGAGUUGGAGAAUCCAGCGCAAAAGCAAGAUGGUGCGUCGUCAUUAUCUGUCCAUCCUCUCCACAGUUGUUGGAUGGAGAUCAUCAGAAAGCUUGCUGGGCUCGGCGAGCUCCAGAAGAUCAUUGAGCUUCUAGAUCGAGCAUCCUCAAAGCAUAGCAGGUUGCUAGAGGACGAAGAAGCACACCGCUUGCUUGAACUCCUUUCCGCAGCACCGAACUGCUUCAUGGCUCUCAAAAUCAUGCUGCUGCUCCCAUACGAAGCUCCACAGCUGCAGUGCCUGCAGACGGUCGAGGCGAAAAUCAGGGAAGGAACUGCGUCCACCUCAUCGAAUGCCAAAGACCACGAGCUGCUGGCGUUGGUCCUCUCAUCCGGAGUCCUGCAGAAGAUGGCUGGAGAAGAGGGGUACUCGAAACUCUUCUCUCACACAUGCCACCUCGUCGGACAUCUCGCGAGGUCGUUCCAGGGCGAUCUCUGCGCACACUGGGAAGCUGAAUCUAAGAUGAAUCAGAAGUCUCUGCUGUUCGGUAAGGUGCUGCUCCCGUGCUUCAUAUCUGAGAGCUGGUGCUCAAAGGGCAGUAUCUGUUGGCCGGGUUCAUCGUCUCGAGAUGGAUGCACACCCCCGCAUCCCUUGGUCUGAUGGAUGUCGUCGAGCCCGGCUUACGGCGCUACCUGGAAGGUCAGGUCGCUCAGGCUCAGGCUCAGCAGCAGGUGGGAGAGAGCGACGCUUCUUUUGGUGAAGACGAGCUGUCUAUUAGCCGCACAAUGUCCAGUCUAAGGUUGAAACUGGUUUCUCUUUUGCAAGCGGCGCUGGUAGCCCUUCCGAGCCAAGAGCCUUAGAUAUCAAGUCUGUCUGGUGUACAUUUGUUUUAUAACUAAACGCUGCUGGACCGGUGUAACUCGAUGUAAACUGUAGCAUGGUGAAUAUUACAAAUGUUUAAAACUAGCGGUGGCAGGAUGAUGCUUUAAGAGAAGUCGAGAGAUGCUGCAAUGUUCUGUUACUCGAUUGGAAUUUACAGUGCAUUUCUUGUAUAUACUUCAUUUGCC
rnacentral:rRNA from 1 species